GGGACUUCAAAGUCUUUGUGUGUGAUUCACUCCAGUCCAGUAGAUGACAGAAACUCACCGCGAGUUGUUUUUCCAACCACCAUAAAACACGAGAUUAAACAAGAGCUGCAGACAGUUUGAGCCCAUGUUCAUCAUGAGAGAGCAGGUGGAUGUGAUCUGCUGUAAAUCAGUAGGAACUGAUCUGUCCAUGCUGGAUAUUGAUGAUUUCAUGACAGAAAUCUCUCAGCUGAAGAAAGAGGUGAUGUCACUGAUGAAAGAGGUGAUGUCACUGAAUACAAAGCUGAUGGAGAGAGACGACAGGUUACAGGAUCUGGAGAAGGUUUCCUGUCAAUCUUCAGUGUGUGUGACUGAUGGGACCUCCACAGAAUGUCAGGAUUCAGUGUGGAGCGGCAGAGAUCAGUCCACACCACAGCGACUGCUGGACAAACUCUCUGAACAGAGAUCCAGAGACACACAGGACUCACAGCUCACUUUACUCUGUUCUACUGAUGCUCAGGAGAGUGUGUGUGACAGUAAUCAGGGUGAUCAAACCUCCACAGAGUCUCUGACUUCUGUCUGUAAUGCUGGAGAACAGCAGAUGCUGCAGACACCAGUGAAGAUUGAAGUGAAGCUGGAGGAGAUAAAAGAAGAAAACAUAGCAGAGGAACAACAGAGAGAUGAAUAUGAUGAUUAUUUUAUUCCUUCAGAGCUGAUGGAAGUAAAAGAGGAAAGUCAAGAGCUUAAUGAAGUGGAGGAGAAACUUCAUUAUCAGAAACAUCUUGAUUUCACAACUGGAGAAAACAUUUUGAGUGGCUCAAAGACGAAGAAGAAUUUCUCACCAAAAAAGCCUCAAAGAAGUGCAGCUAAGAAAUCUUUCACCUGCUCUCAGUGUGGAAAAUGUUUCUCAUAUAAAAGCCGUCUUAAUAUUCACAUGAGAGUUCACACUGGAGAGAAGCCUUAUACAUGUCAUCAAUGUGGGAAAAGGUACGCAUCUGCUACCCGAUUCAAAAAUCAUCUCCACUGUCACUCUGGAGAAAAUUCAUUUGAAUGUGAUCAGUGUGGUAAAACAUUUGUUUUGAAUUCAGUCCUCAAACAGCAUCUGAAAACUCACACAAAUGAUGAGCCUUACAAGUGUUCUUCUUGUGGAAAGAGUUUUGCACUCCUGUCCUAUUUUAAAGAAAACCAAAAAAUUCAUUUCGGCAUGGGGGUUCAUAUGUGCUUUGAAUGUGGGAAGAUCUUUACUAAAGCCGGCAACUUGAAACGGCACCAAAGAAUUCAUACUGGAGAAAAACCAUACAAGUGCUCACUCUGUGGAAAGAGGUUCACUCAGUCAGAACACCUGAAAACACAUGAGAGAAUCCAUACUGGAGUGAAACCUUACAAGUGCUCACACUGUGGAAAGAGUUUCGGUGUGUCAGAACACCUGAAAACACACGAGAGAAUUCAUACUGGAGAGAAACCUUACAAGUGCUCACACUGUGAAAAGAGUUUCAUUAAGUCACAAAACCUGAAAAUACAUGAGAGAAUCCAUACUGGAGAAAAACCUUACAAGUGCUCACACUGUGGAAAGAGUUUCACUCAGUCAGAACACCUGAAAAAACAUGAGAGAAUCCAUACUGGAGAGAAACCAUGCUAGUGCUCACUCUGUGGAAAGAGUUUCACUGUGUUACAACAUUUGAAAACUCAUGAGAGAAUCCAUACUGGAGUGAAACCAAACCACUGCUCUGAUGUGGGAAAAGUUGCAGCACAGCAAGUACUCUACAGUAACAUAUAAAAAAGAAUUGCCCAAGUAGUCACAUUGAGCAAGAGUCAUUCUAAGCACUAUUCGGACAGGACUAGUAUUCCCUGAGGAGAAAUCGUGUUACAUCUCACCAUGGUAGUGAAGAAGAUCCAUGCUUACAUGUGCUUACUAUGGUCUUGUUAUAAAUACCACUGUUAAAACAAUAAAAAUAAAUAAAUAAAUGCAUUAAAAUUUUCAUAAGGGCAAUUGCAAAAUACAUGAUUUUUUUUAGGUGAAAUAGAAAUGCGUAAAUCCUAAAAAAAAAAAUAGGCCAAAAUAUUUUUGAGUGUAAGAAAAUAUAACUGGUUUUGUUUGCCUUCAGAAAUUCCAAGAGAUGACUUAUUUGAAUCAAUAAGAACCUGAUGAAAGGAGUCCCAACUCAGUCACACUGUUUGAAUAAUUUAGUCACAUAAAUUAGGUGUUAACUUUUUACUUUUUAUAGAUGUUAUAGAUAACCCUACUGUUGUUGAUACCAGUAAAUUUACAUCUCCAUCCAACUCAAAAUCAAUGCUGUAAUGUAGAAUGAGCAUUUCAGUGGGACAAAAUAUGCAAUAUUAUUGGUCUUUUCACUUAUUUUUUUAAAUAUAAUAACAACACUUUUAUUGUUAGUUUCUGUCUUCACAUUUUCAUUGUAUAGGCCGCAGAUAUAGCCCUUAUUGUAUAUUUUAAUUUAAUCAUUUAGUUAGCCAUUUUGAUAAUUGAAUUAACAAGUAUGCAAUAUGCAAUGAUCUAAAAAUGACAGUGUGUAAUCAGUGUACUAUGAAUAACUGCAUUAUGAAUGUUAUUCAAUAUAUUUGAUAUUUAAUCAUUCAUUUAUUGAUUUAAUUAUCAUAUACUCAGUUUAAUAAUCAAGGUGCAAAUAAUGGAAAAAUGCGGCUUGAGGGAGAAUUACAGCCUUUUUUGUCAAACCUUGUAUGACCCAAAGGGAGACGUGUGUGGGGAUACUAAAAGGAUAAUUUAAUGAGCAGAGCUGGUGUCCAAAAAAGGCAGAUGAUAUAUGUGCGCUAAUUAGUCAGUCAGUCAAUCAGUCGCUUUUAUUUACAGUAUAUAGCACAUGUAAAAACAAUGACAGUUGGCUAAAGUGCUGUACAAAAUCAAUAAUUACAAAAUUCAUCACAAAACAAAGGACAACAUGAAAGACUCAAUGACAAUAAAAGAGUACCACUAAACCUGCAUAUUUCCAUAAGCUACAGAAAACAAAUGAGUUUUAAGAAGAGAUUUAAAACCAUCAAAAGUUGGGGAAGACCUUAUAUGGGGAGGUAAAGUUAUUCCAGAGUCGUGGGGCUGCAAUCGAGAAGGCAGUGUCACCUUUCAGUUUUAAGUGUGACCUGGCGUGCUAGAAAUGAGAUGAAUGAUGUAUGUGGGCAGACAUACAACUCUCCAUUAGGAAUAUGUGUAACCAAUGACUGUAAUAAGGGAAAUCAUUUAAUAUACUAAUCAAAUUAAUGCUGGAAGUAAGGAUAAUUAGUCAAUCUAAAAUAUGUAACCAUAUGACGUGAUAACAGUGUGUUUUAUACAUAGAAAAUGAAAUAGUCAUGCUUUUGCCAUCAAUGAAGCAAGUUGGGGUCAAAGGUGACCAGCUAGAAGGGAGACGGCAAAGAUGAAACUAGGGAGGCAUAAGACAAUUUCAUUGGAUGAAGAGGCCAUCACUCAAAGGGAUAAGGGGGAACUGAAACUGUAUAUAAAAAAAAGCAUGAUUCUGAAGUGUAAUUUUAGAUGCUCCAUGGACCACCUCAGAUUUGUUACUCUGUAAUAAAAGUCUAUUUUUGAAAUCAGAACUUUGCGCCUCCGAGAAAUCUUUGACUCGACUGAGCUUCGAUGGCGGUUUUGAGGAAUCUGCCAAGACACCCUCCAUCUGCUUAAAUUUAAGAAACGCAAGGUUUGGUCUCACAUUCAUGACGCGUAAGCCU